GAGUUUGAUCUUGGCUCAGGACGAACGCUGGCGGCGUGCUUAACACAUGCAAGUCGAACGAGAAUCUACUGAAAGAGUUUUCGGACAAUGGAAGUAGGGGAAAGUGGCGGACGGGUGAGUAACGCGUGAGGAACCUGCCUUGAAGAGGGGACAACAGUUGGAACGACUGCUAAUACCGCAUGAUGCAUAAGGGUCGCAUGAUUCUUAUGCCAAAGAUUUAUCGCUUCAAGAUGGCCUCGCGUCUGAUUAGCUAGUUGGCGGGGUAACGGCCCACCAAGGCGACGAUCAGUAGCCGGACUGAGAGGUUGAACGGCCACAUUGGGACUGAGAUACGGCCCAGACUCCUACGGGAGGCAGCAGUGGGGAAUAUUGGGCAAUGGGCGCAAGCCUGACCCAGCAACGCCGCGUGAAGG
rnacentral:rRNA from 1 species